UCUCCGUUGGUGAACCAGCGGAGGGAUCAUUACUGAGUUACCGCUCUACAACCCUUUGUGAACAUACCUAACUGUUGCUUCGGCGGGCAGAGGUCCCUCGCGGAUCUCUCCCGGCAGCGCCCUCACGGGCGGAGCGCCCGCCGGAGGAUACCAAACUCUAUUUUAACGACGUUUCUUCUGAGUGGCACAAGCAAAUAAUUAAAACUUUUAACAACGGAUCUCUUGGUUCUG
rnacentral:misc_RNA from 1 species